GCGAGUGAAGCGGCAAAAGCUCAAAUUUGAAAUCUGGCGCCUUCGGUGUCCGAGUUGUAAUUUGAAGAAGGUAACUUUGGAGUUGGCUCUUGUCUAUGUUCCUUGGAACAGGACGUCACAGAGGGUGAGAAUCCCGUGCGAUGAGAUGCCCAAUUCUAUGUAAAGUGCUUUCGAAGAGUCGAGUUGUUUGGGAAUGCAGCUCUAAGUGGGUGGUAAAUUCCAUCUAAAGCUAAAUAUUGGCGAGAGACCGAUAGCGAACAAGUACAGUGAUGGAAAGAUGAAAAGAACUUUGAAAAGAGAGUGAAAAAGUACGUGAAAUUGUUGAAAGGGAAGGGCUUGAGAUCAGACUUGGUAUUUUGCGUUCCUUUCCUUUUUGGUUGGGUUCCUCGCAGCUUACUGGGCCAGCAUCGGUUUGGAUGGUAGGAUAAUGACAUUGGAAUGUAUCUCUACUUCGGUGGAGUGUUAUAGCCCUUGUUGAUACUGCCUGUCUAGACCGAGGACUGCGUCUUUGACUAGGAUGCUGGCAUAAUGAUCUUAAGCCACCC
rnacentral:rRNA from 3 species